CUUGCACGCUGGCGGCAGGCCUAACACAUGCAAGUCGAACGAGUGGCGGACGGGUGAGUAAUGUCUGGGACACUGCCUGAUGGAGGGGGAUAACUACUGGAAACGGUAGCUAAUACCGCAUACCAUCAGAUUUGCCCAGAUGGGAGUAGCUUGUUGGUGGGGUAACGGCUCACCAAGGCGACGAUACCUAGCUGGUCUGAGAGGAUAACCAGCCACACUGGAACUGGGACACGGGCCAGACUCCUACGGGAGGCAGCAGUGGGGAAUAUGGCACAAUGGGCGCAAGCCUUAUGCAUCCAUGCCGCGUGUAUGAAGAAGGCCUUCGGGUUGUAAAGUACUUUCAGCGGGGAGGCGUUACCCGCAGAAGAAGCACCGGCUAACUCCGUGCCAGCAGCCGCGGUAAUUC
rnacentral:rRNA from 1 species